rnacentral:piRNA from 1 species
UGCCAAAACAGAUCGAGCACAGUUACUCA